CCUACGGGAGGCAGCAGUAGGGAAUCUUCCACAAUGGACGAAACCCUGAUGCAGCAACGCCGCGUGAGGGAAGAAGGGUUUCGGAUUGUAAACUUCUGUUCGUAGUGAAGAAUAAUAGCGGUAGCAAAUGGGCAAGACACGGCGAUCAACGUUCAAAAAGCCACGGUAAAACGUAGGUGGCAAGCGUUGGGCGGAUUUAGUGGGUGUAAGGGGUGCGCAGGCGGGUCGCCAAGUCAGCUGUGAAAACCAUGGGCUCAACUUGUAGAUUGCAGUUGAAACUGGUUUGCUUGAGUGAAGUAGAGGUGGGCGGAACUCCGAGUGUAGCGGUGAAAUGCGUAGAUAUUCGGAGGAACACCGGUGGCGAAGGCGGCUAUCUGGUCUGCAACUGACGCUGAGGCUCGAAAGUGUGGGGAGCAAACAGGAUUAGAUACCCCUGUAGUC
rnacentral:rRNA from 1 species